rnacentral:rRNA from 1 species
UACAGAGGUCUCAAGCGUUGUUCGGAUUCAUUGGGCGUAAAGGGUGCGUAGGCGGCGCGGUAAGUCGGAUGUGAAAUCUCGGGGCUUAACUCCGAAACUGCAUUCGAUACUGCCGUGCUUGAGGACUGGAGAGGAGACUGGAAUUUACGGUGUAGCGGUGAAAUGCGUAGAUAUCGUAAGGAAGACCAGUGGCGAAGGCGGGUCUCUGGACAGUUCCUGACGCUGAGGCAACGAAGGCCCAGGGGAGCAAACGGG